GAUGAACGCUGGCGGCGUGCCUAAUACAUGCAAGUCGAGCGAACAGACGAGGAGCUUGCUCCUCUGACGUUAGCGGCGGACGGGUGAGUAACACGUGGAGAACCUACCUAUAAGACUGGGAUAACUUCGGGAAACCGGAGCUAAUACCGGAUAAUAUAUUGAACCGCAUGGUUCAAUAGUGAAAGACGGUUUUGCUGUCACUUAUAGAUGGAUCCGCGCCGCAUUAGCUAGUUGGUAAGGUAACGGCUUACCAAGGCAACGAUGCGUAGCCGACCUGAGAGGGGGAUCGGCCACACUGGAACUGGGGCACGGUCCAGACUCCUACGGGAGGCAGCAGUAGGGAAUCUUCCGCAAUGGGCGGAAGCCUGACGGAGCAACGCCGCGUGAGUGAUGAAGGUCUUCGGAUCGUAAAACUCUGUUAUUAGGGAAGAACAAAUGUGUAAGUAACUAUGCACGUCUGGACGGUACCUAAUCAGAAAGCCACGGCGAACUACGU
rnacentral:rRNA from 1 species